GGUUGUAUAGUGUAGCGGUUAUCACUCCGGAUUCUGAUCAAGUCAAAAAUUUGAUAAUGAUAAAACUUCCGGCAACCCCGGUUCGAUUCCGGGUACGACCU